GGAGAGAUAUCGAAGUGGUCGUAACGAGCCGCACUCGAAAUGCGGUCGUCCAUCUUUGGGCGCGUGGGUUCGAAUCCCACUCUCUCC
rnacentral:tRNA from 1 species